rnacentral:misc_RNA from 1 species
GGGAUACCAAGAUCUAUUUCCCAUACAGCUAGGCCAGUUGGAGCUGUGUCCUACAUUGACAUAGAAGGGUAUAGGAUGAAGAGAGAUGUCCUCUUUUGUUAUGAUCUUAAGCUUCCUGACAGCUUCAUUCCUCAUAACGAGGAUGGGGAGGUAGAAAGCUUUCAAUUGGUCCCAGUUACAAAAGUUGCAAAUAUCAUCCGAAACACAUCGUUCUUCAAAGCAAACUGCAAUCUUGUCAUUACUGAUUUCCUUUUCCGGCAUGGGCACAUCAAACCAGAAGUGUUUGGGUACCUGAAGCUACUGCAG